UGAGGAAUAUUGGUCAAUGGACGCAAGUCUGAACCAGCCAAGUAGCGUGCAGGAUGACGGCCCUAUGGGUUGUAAACUGCUUUUAUAUGGGGAUAAAGUGGGGGACGUGUUCCCUUUUGCAGGUACCAUAUGAAUAAGGACCGGCUAAUUCCGUGCCAGCAGCCGCGGUAAUACGGAAGGUUCGGGCGUUAUCCGGAUUUAUUGGGUUUAAAGGGAGCGUAGGCCGUUUGGUAAGCGUGUUGUGAAAUGUAGGAGCUCAACUUCUAGAUUGCAGCGCGAACUGUCAGACUUGAGUGCGCACAACGUAGGCGGAAUUCAUGGUGUAGCGGUGAAAUGCUUAGAUAUCAUGAAGAACUCCGAUUGCGAAGGCAGCUUACGGGAGCGCAACUGACGCUGAAGCUCGAAGGUGCGGGUAUCGAACAGG
rnacentral:rRNA from 1 species